UUAUAAAAAUUUAAAAUUAAUUACUUAAAAAUUAAUAGUUAAGUUCUUUAAAUUUAAGAGAUUUGGCGGUAUUUUAGUCUUAUUAGAGGAACCUGUAAUUUUAUUGAUAAUCCACGAUUAAUUUUACUUAUUUUAAAAAUUCAUAUAUCGCUGUCAUGAAUAUAUUUAAAAAUUUAUUUUCUUUAAUUACUUUAAUGAUUUAUGUUAAGUCAAGAUGUGGUUUAUAAAUAAGUUAAUUAUGGGUUACAAUAAAUUUAAUUUUUGGAUUUAAAAUGAAAAUAAUUGAUGAAAUUGGAUUUAAUAGUAAUUUUAAUUAUUUAAUUAAUAUGAAUAAAGAUCUGAAAUAUGUACAUAUUGCCCGUCAUUCUUAUUAAAAAUAAGACAAGUCGUAACAAAGUAAGUGUACUGGAAAGUGUACUUAGAAAAAAAAU
rnacentral:rRNA from 1 species